AGUCGGUCCAAUCUAAUUCUGCAUCAUGGUUUAUUUAUGUAGUCUCGCUUUCGAGACAAAACUAAACCCCACAUCUUUUCUUAUUCCUUGUGUUGCUAGCAUUCUUCCCCGUCCAAUGCACACGAGAAACGUAAAAGAACAACA